rnacentral:misc_RNA from 1 species
UCCGAGUUGACCCCGGCAGUCUCCUAUGAGUCCCCGGCAUUAUCCGCUGGCAACAUAGGACGAGGGUUGCGCUCGUUGCGGGACUUAACCCAGCAUCUCACGACACGAGCUGACGACAACCAUGCACCACCUGUGAACCGACCGCAAGCGGGGCACCUGUUUCCAGGUAUUUCCAGUCCAUGUCAAGCCUUGGUAAGGUUCUUCGCGUUGCAUCGAAUUAAUCCGCAUGCUCCGCCGCUUGUGCGGGCCCCCGUCAAUUCCUUUGAGUUUUAACCUUGCGGCCGUACUCCCCAGGCGGUGCGCUUACCGCGUUAGCUCCGACACCGACGGGCAAGCCCGCCAACGUCCAGCGCACAUCGUUUACGGCGUGGACUAC